rnacentral:rRNA from 1 species
UACGUAGGGUGCAGGCGUAAUCGGAAUUACUGGGCGUAAAGCGUGCGCAGGCGGCUCUUUAAGUCAGAUGUGAAAGCCCCGGGCUUAACCUGGGAAUUGCGUUUGAAACUGGCGAACUGGAGUGUGGCAGAGGGGGGUGGAAUUCCGCGUGUAGCAGUGAAAUGCGUAGAGAUCAUGAGGAAGACCAGUGGCGAAGGCGGGUCGUCUGGACAGCAACUGACGUGAGGCACGAAGGCCAGGGGAGCAAACGGG